GGGGAUGCUAGGCAUCGACGGUUAGAUUCUGGUGUGGCCUUGUGCAGUGUCGAAGUUGAAUACACCUUCGUUAAAAUGUAUUCAUCCUUACGUGCAAAGAAUAGCGUAAAAAGUCCUUACUUCACUGUAAGUGACUUCGCAUUCGCGACUGCGUAGUUUACUACCUCGCCGAUGUCGACAUCCCGUAUUAUGAGUUCUCAUAGUAGUACGCGGGUGUAAUAUCAUGAGAAUAUUAGUUCCAACUCCGCCUGCGUUGGAAACCGAAAUUCUGCAGGCUCGAAUAAUUACUGUCUCGUCACUUCUUUAGGUAAUUAUUUCAAAUCAAAGAUAUGACUACACACUGUAGAUGCAGCGUCGCCCACUAACUCGGACGCGAGUUCAAUUCUCGCCAUCUCCACAA
rnacentral:tmRNA from 1 species